rnacentral:rRNA from 1 species
CCCUUAGAUGUUCUGGGCUGCACGCGCGCUACACUGAUACUUUCAGCGAGUCCACCACCUUGCCUGGGAAGGUGGGGUAACCUCUGGAAAGUGCAUCGUGAUGGGGAUCGAUUAUUGUAAUUAUUAAUCUUCAACGAGGAAUUCCUAGUAAGCAUGUGUCAUCAGCCCGUGCUGAUUACGUCCCUGCCCUUUGUACACACCGCCCGUCGCUCCUACCGAUUGAGCGGUCCGGUGAAGACUCAGGAGAUGGGCGCGUGCUUGGUUCGCCAACUGCGCUGCCUGCCAAAUUUGUCUAAACCUUAUCGCUUAGAGGAAGGAGAAGUCGUAACA